GAAAUGCGAUAAGUAAUGUGAAUUGCAGAAUUCAGUGAAUCAUCGAAUCUUUGAACGCACCUUGCGCUCCUUGGUAUUCCUUGGAGCAUGCCUGUUUGAGUAUCAUGAAAUCUUCAAAGUAAAUCUUUUGUUAACUCAAUUGGUUUCUACUUUGGUAUUGGAGGUCUUUGCAGCUUCACACCUGCUCCUCUUUGUUCAUUAGCUGGAUCUCAGUGUUAUGCUUGGUUCCACUCGGCGUGAUAAGUUAUCUAUCGCUGAGGACACUGUAAAAGGUGGCCAAGGUAAAUGCAGAUGAACCGCUUCUAAUAGUCCAUUGACUUGGACAAUACUUUUAUGAUUUGAUCUCAAAUCAGGUAGGACUACCCGCUGAACUUAAGC
rnacentral:misc_RNA from 1 species